GGGCGUAUAGAUCAGUGGUAGAGCGCAUGCUUAGGAUGCACAAGGUCUUGGGUUCAAUGCCCAGUACCUCCA
rnacentral:tRNA from 1 species